AGCGUGUCUGGCGAGAGGCGGGUCGCUUGGAACGCUUCCCUUUGCUGGCUGCUGCUCUGUUCUCUUGCUCCUCCAGAGAAAGGCGGGGUUGUAUAGCGAAGUCUGUUCAGAGGUAGAAACAAACCCACGCUGUCAAGCCCGGCACAGAGAGAGUGGUGGACCCGGAACAAACUAAUAUCUGAGAAAAUUAUGCACGGAGUCUAGAUACAGGAGUGACUGAGUCCUUCACGUUUAUGACAAACAGUUUUAUAACUUAUGAAAAUACAGUGCUACAAUAAUUUUGAAUUUAAAUAUUCGUUUGUUACAGAAGUGAAUUGCAAAACGUCCCAAACUCAAAGAUCUAUCGAAAUUCAAAAGGACAUUUCCAAGGAUGAAGGAAUUAUCAUAUUUCUGCCAGCGGAUGAUUCGGUUUGCUCUUCUUCUAACAACAGUCUCAGCUACCAAGAUGAACGUACCACGACUCAGACUUUCAUACAAAGACCUUGUAGCCACCAACCGGUCCUCUAUCUUCAGUGGUCACCACGGUCAGCUUUCCCUGAGCGCUUUGUUUCUGGACGAGUACCAUGACCGCCUGUUCCUGGGGGGCAAAGACGUCCUCUACUCCCUGAGACUGGACCAUACCAACCUGGACUCCAAAGAGAUCUACUGGCCUCCGUUGCCUGGUAACAGAGAUGAAUGUGUCCAGAGAGGGAAAGAUUCUCAGACGGAGUGUGCCAACUUUGUGCGCCUGCUGCAGCCCUAUAACCGCACCCACCUGCUGGCCUGUGGUACGGGUGCAUUCCAACCCAUGUGUACCUAUGUGUACCAUGUUUUCACCAUGGACCCUACCAAAAUGGAGAACGGACGGGGGAAGGUUCCUCACGACCCCAGCCUCCCCUUCGCUAGCACCUUAAUUGGUGGGGAGUUAUACACAGGGCUGACUGCAGACUUCCUGGGUAGAGACUCAGUGAUCUUCCGUAGUCUGGGAGGUCGCUCCACCAUGAGGACUGAGACGGACCAGAGACUGCUGCAUGAUCCUAAGUUUGUUGCGGCCCACCUCAUCCCUGAUAAUGAUGACCGUGACAAUGACAAGGUGUACUUCUUCUUCACGGAGAAGGCCAUGGAGGCCGGGAACAGAGAGGGGGCCAUCCACACCCGAGUAGGACGUGUGUGUGCGAAUGAUGUAGGUGGACAGAGAGUGCUGGUGAAUAAAUGGAGCACCUUCAUCAAGGCCAGACUGGUGUGUUCUGUACCUGGGCCUCAUGGCAUUGACACACACUUUGACGAGCUGGAGGAUGUUUUCCUGCUUAGAGGCAAGGAUGAGAAGAACCCAGAUGUUUAUGCCAUCUUCAGCACCAUCAGUAACGUGUUCCAAGGCUUUGCAGUUUGUGUGUACCGUAUGGCAGACAUCAGAGAAGCCUUCAACGGGCCUUUUGCACACAAGGAGGGACCUGACUACCAGUGGGGGGCUUACGAGGGCAGAGUGCCCUAUCCAAGACCUGGGGUGUGCCCCAGUAAGAUCACCAACCAGCCUGGCAGACAGUUUGGCAGUACCAAGGACUUCCCAGACGCAGUGCUCCAGUUUGCCAGAGGGCACCCCCUGAUGUGGCGACCGGUGUACCCAGCCAUGAAGCAGCCUCUGCUGGUCAAGGCCAACUUGCCCUACCGCCUCAAACAGAUCGUGGUGGACCGUGUAGAGGCAGAGGAUGGACAGUAUGACGUCAUGUUCAUAGGCACCGACAUAGGCACUGUUCUGAAGGUCAUUGCAUUGCGCAGCGGCAACACUCUGGACACAGAAGAGGUCACUCUGGAGGAGCUGCAGGUCUUUAAGCAAGCACUGUACGUGGGUUCUCCGGUGGGUAUGGCCCAGCUGAGGCUUCACAGGUGUGAGACGUAUGGGAAGGCCUGUGCUGAGUGCUGCCUGGCCAGAGACCCCUACUGUGCCUGGGACGGCACCUCCUGCACUCGCUACACCUCGCUCAGCAGACGCCGCUAUCGCCGUCAGGACAUCAGGCAUGGCAACCCGGCCCUGCAGUGUAUGGACCAGAACCUCAGUGUGGAGGAGCUGGACGUAACAGAAGACAGAGUUGUGUACGGGACAGAGAACAACAGCACCUUCCUGGAGUGUGUUCCCCGCUCCCCACAGGCCACUGUUACAUGGCUGCUCCAACGAGACGGCCGCAAGGAAGAGGUGAAGCUGGAUGACCGAGUGAUGCAUAUGGAGCAGGGCCUGCUCUUCCGCCGUGUGUUCCGUCAGGAUGAGGGUGUGUAUGUGUGUCUCUCCCGUGAGCACGGCUUCACCCAGACCCUCACCCACCUCUCCCUGGAGGUCCUGCAGGGGAACACACUGAGUGACAUCAACCCCCUCAGCCACCUGCGCCCCUGGUUCAAGGACAUCAUGCAGCUGAUUGGCCCAUCCAACCUGCCGCACGUGGAGGAGUACUGUGAGAGGAUGUGGUGCAACGACAAGCUGCGGCGUAAACACAAGAGCAUGCUGGACAAGUACCGGCAGGCACAGGAUAGCGCGCGCAAGACCCGCAAUAAGGGCUCCGGGGAACGCAACCGGACGCCGCGGGACGUCAGCAACCGACAGCCGUAG
rnacentral:lncRNA from 1 species